UGAGUUUAGGCCAGUCCUGCUGGGGGCCCAUGGUCUCGGGUCUUGCCCUCAUUUAUUGACAGGAGAGGCCUGCUGCUGCCAGGAAGUGAGCCCUGUCUGUCUGUCUGUGGAAGUGAGCCCUGUCUGUCUGUCUGUCUGUCUGCAGUUCUGCAUCUUUCCACAGAGAAAGCCAGGCCUGCCACUGGGAGAAAGGGACGUGACGCACCACCUGAAGGGAUUCUUCCUUCCUGGUUCCCGUCCUCCCUGACCCCCUCCUGGCAAUGAAGAACAUUAUGUAUGUGCAUUAAUCACACGUGUCACUGCUGGGCCAGACCUGAUGCUAGGUGGCUCCAGAGGCCAGUACUUCUCCGACUUUAAUGAGCAGAAUCACUUUGGGGAGUGAGCCAGCAGCUCUGGGGCGGGGCCUGCACUUCUGCGUUUCCAAUGAGCUCCCAGUUUCCCCAUCUGCAGUGUGUGGGUGACCUGGAGGCUGUCCCAGAGGAUCUGAUUGGCCCCCUGAGGAUGCAGCCUUCGCAGCCCCUCUCGGCAUCAGAAGCUACUUGUGGAUUGAAGCAAAGCCUCCGCUCGCUGCUCAGGGACAAGACACAGCUGCUUCGUCCUCUAAUGCUGCACAUGCAGGAGCCAGCACCCUGGGACACUUUGAUGCCUCCUUUGGACAGGGCAGGGGGCCUUGAUUGAGCACAUAGCUCCAAGAAGAGAAGUGUAAACAGACAUCCAUGUAAUGAAUGUAAAUUUUUCCCUCUGAUGUG